GCAAUCUUGGCCUGUAGCCAAAAGUGACGCGCAAGCGCAUCCCGCUGAUGAUGUCUUGCGUAUAGUAGGUACUAAAUAGAGUCGCUAUUUAGUAGAUGGGAUAGUAAAUGUCAUGGACACUCACUUUAGUGAGGCUGACAUCACUCAAAGGCACCCAACA
rfam:Vibrio sp. qd031 contig_76, whole genome shotgun sequence.